rfam:Bradyrhizobium japonicum TSDA 110 DNA, complete genome.
GAAGUCCAUUGCGAUGAAGGUGUAGCGAACCACAUCGGCCCCGAGCCGUGCGCAGGCGUCCGCGAGGGUGUCGGCGAAGCGUCGGUAGGGGAGCAUGCAGGCCAGCCAUUGAGCCGCGAAACAGUGUUAUCUCGGGAGCCGACGCUGUCCAAAGAGCGGAAGGCAAUAUGGGCGAGUGCGCAAACGCGAGCACCCGUCCAACCCGGCGUGGUCGUAGACCC